AUUGAACGCUGGCGGCAGGCCUAACACAUGCAAGUCGAGCGGAUGACAGGAGCUUGCUCCUGAAUUCAGCGGCGGACGGGUGAGUAAUGCCUAGGAAUCUGCCUGGUAGUGGGGGACAACGUUUCGAAAGGAACGCUAAUACCGCAUACGUCCUACGGGAGAAAGCAGGGGACCUUCGGGCCUUGCGCUAUCAGAUGAGCCUAGGUCGGAUUAGCUAGUUGGUGAGGUAAUGGCUCACCAAGGCGACGAUCCGUAACUGGUNUGAGAGGAUGAUCAGUCNCACUGGAANUGAGACACGGUCCAGNCUCCUACGGGAGGCAGCAGUGGGGAAUAUUGGACAAUNGGCGAAAGCCUGAUCCAGCCAUGCCGCGUGUGUGAAGAAGGUCUUCGGAUUGUAAAGCACUUUAAGUUGGGAGGAAGGGCAGUAAAUUAAUACUUUGCUGUAANGACGUUACCGACAGAAUAAGCACCGGCUA
rnacentral:rRNA from 1 species